rnacentral:tRNA from 1 species
GGGCCGUUAGCUCAGCCUGGUAGAGCAGCGGACUUUUAAUCCGUUGGUCACUGGUUCGAAUCCAGUACGGCCUACCA